UACGUAGGGUGCAAGCGUUAAUCGGAAUUACUGGGCGUAAAGCGUGCGCAGGCGGUUCGGAAAGAGAGGUGUGAAAUCCCAGGGCUUAACCUUGGAACUGCACUUCUAACUACCGGGCUAGAGUACGUCAGAGGGGGGUAGAAUUCCACGUGUAGCAGUGAAAUGCGUAGAGAUGCGGAGGAACACCGAUGGCGAAGGCAGCCCCCUGGGCUAACACUGACGCUCAGGCACGAAAGCGUGGGGAGCAAACAGG
rnacentral:rRNA from 1 species